GGCCAGACUCCUACGGGAGGCAGCAGUGGGGAAUAUUGCACAAUGGGGGAAACCCUGAUGCAGCGACGCCGCGUGAGUGAAGAAGUAUUUCGGUAUGUAAAGCUCUAUCAGCAGGGAAGAAAAUGACGGUACCUGACUAAGAAGCCCCGGCUAACUACGUGCCAGCAGCCGCGGUAAUACGUAGGGGGCAAGCGUUAUCCGGAUUUACUGGGUGUAAAGGGAGCGUAGGCGGCCUGGCAAGCCUGAUGUGAAAUGCCGGGGCCCAACCCCGGGGCUGCAUUGGGAACUGCCAGGCUGGAGUGCCGGAGAGGCAGGCGGAAUUCCUAGUGUAGCGGUGAAAUGCGUAGAUAUUAGGAGGAACACCAGUGGCGAAGGCGGCCUGCUGGACGGUGACUGACGCUGAGGCUCGAAAGCGUGGGGAGCAAACAGGAUUAGAUACCCGAGUA
rnacentral:rRNA from 1 species